GUGAUUUUUCCACCACCUCCGUCUUGACAGGAAGUGAGUUAUUCUCAUGUUCACCUCCUUGAAUCUUCCACUGGGUCCAGAAGACCAAGCUUCAAUGCCAAUGUGGAAUUCACCUUCAUGCAACAAAACCUGCUCUGUGGAUCAAAGUGGACAUGGAGGUGACAGCAGAUGGAUCUCAGGAGUCUCCGCACUGGUUCUCUUUGAGCACAUGUGCUGGCGGGUGUCGGCGUCCAGCGCUGGAGCGAUGAUGUCGACGGUCGAUAUUAAACUCAUCUAUUAAAAAUUCAAGAGCGACGUCGGUCAUCUGGAAGGUGUUUCAGCUCCUUCAACAUCUCGACUCUCAGAUGUGAUCGAGGUCACUCGCAGUGAGCUGGAGUCAACCCCAGACAGACCUGGAGAAGAGGGAAGGUUUUCCGUCAUCGAUCGCCAAACUCUCCGACAUUCCUGAACUGCCGUGAGAGCUCUUACUCAGCUUUGGUCCCCUGAGGAACCGCCGAGGGUUCUUGAGUUGAGAGACGUCUUUAAGGUCGAAUGAAAAGACGUUAAUGGAACAUCGAACUCUCUCUAUGAAGACGAAGAAGUGAGGAGCAGCUGACAGUCUCUAGUCGUGUCAGACCUUCCCGGGCACCUACAC